UACAGAGGGUGCAAGCGUUGUCCGGAAUCACUGGGCGUAAAGGGCGCGUAGGCGGCCCGAUAAGUAGGGGGUGAAAUCUUGCGGCUCAACCGCAAGGCUGCCUUCUAGACUGUCGGGCUUGAGCACAGUAGAGGCAGGUGGAAUUCCCGGUGUAGCGGUGAAAUGCGUAGAUAUCUUGAGGAAUACCGGUGGCGAAGGCGGCAUCCUGGACCAUUACUGACACUGAUCCGCGAAAGCUAGGGGAGCAAACGGG
rnacentral:rRNA from 1 species